AAUUACCGAGAAAAUAUCAAUUGUAUCAGAAAGUUCUCGGUAAAUUCCGAUGAACAGAACUUGUCGGAAUUUUGUCAGUUCAUAUCGUCGGAAUUUUGUGGUUAGAGAUGUCAAACUGGGUACUGUCCCGCGGGCCUGGCCCAGAAGGGUUUGUUGCGGGGCGGGUAUGGGCCUAGGGAUUCAUGACCCGCAAAAAAGCGGGCCUUGCGGGACUGGGCUUGUUUGAUACCGGGUCUAAAGCGGGACGGCCCGCAUCAACCGCGGGAAGGCCCACAUGUACCGCAUCUAGAUGCUUCGUCGUUUCCGUUGCCCUUUCACCUGAAAAUGAAAAGUUUAAUAUCUACUGAAAUGACCAUUGCAGAUGUGUCGUCUCUUCUUGUUAAGGAGGAGACUGCAUUCCCUUUGAGACAAGACUCUUCACUAAUUCCAGGAGAACCCAAUAUAUCUUAUAUAGCCUCUGUUCCCUGGAGAGACUAGAGUUGAUCAAUUGGUGGAGAUCAUUAAGGCAAUAAAACGAUUGUGGUUUUUGUUUUCUUUCCUGUUAGAUUCUCAGAGUUUGUCUCUGACAUGUAGUUCUUAUAUAUUCUAUGAAUUGUCUCUGAUUUGUCUUCUUUUUUUUUGUUUGUGUUUUGAGUGCCAGCACCAUCGCCAUUUGUAGUCUAAAGUCGAUCUUUGUGUUUUAACUUAGUUAAGAAGUUGUUGUGAUCAAAGAGAACAUGUGUUGUGGCUCUUUGAUGAUUCUGUUUAUGUAUAAACAAUCAAAUUAUCUAUUUAUUUUGUUGAAUUAAAAAAUAACCCACAAUCUCAGAUCACUUCAUUUAGUUGUUAUUCAUCAGGUCCAAGAUCUUUCAUUGAAGUCACUAGCCAAAAACUACUUUUAAUUUGUUGGAUUAUUACAUUUCAAAAUGUAAGAGUUUUGAAGCUUAAAUCAUCUUACCAUGGUUUUAGAUUACCUCCUUCAUCAUCAGUCCUUGGAGGUUUUCAAAAAUGUACUUCAUUCUUCAUAUUCUACAUGCUGCACUCCUUUCGCGUCCAGCCCGCGGGAUGGCUUGUAAGGGACUGUGCACUUGGGCGGUACGGGAUCGGGCCGACCUUUUGGAGACCGCAGCCCGCGCGGGACGGACCCGCCUGGACCCGCGAGAUGACAAGCCCGCAGCGGUACGGGACGGGACGGGACGGACCAACCUGUUUGACAUCUCUAUUUGUGGUUAUAAAAGAAAAAAGUUUCCGAGAAAUUUCAUCCCUCGGAGAAUUGUUGAUAUCCUCUCGGAAAUCACCGACGACAAGGAAGCCUCAAAAAUUUGUCGGAGAAAUUGACGGUAAACCAUCGUAAUAGUUUCCGAGACGAGAUCGACGACAACCAAUCCCACUAAUUUCUCGGACUUACUCAAGGAAUCAACUCUCAACAGAAACAUAAAUUUGUUUGGCAGAUCUGACGAGUUUGGGGAUGUUUGUUGAUGGAGGAAACCGGCGGCUCUAUUGUAGGAAUGGGUUGGCUUGCAAAAUUGUCUCCUCCACCACGAACUAUUCUCCUAGCAGCGUUGAUUCCGGCGGCGGCUAGAGCUUCACGGUGGCAGAUCUGGUGGACGACGACAUUUUCUUCUUCGGUGGCUAAGGUCUUGUAGGUAUCCGGUUUUGUUUUGGUUUUUUGAAUUCCAAUUUUGGUAAACCGAUUCUAAUCUCCAAUAAGGGUGGUAUAUAUGUAUAAUGUAUUAUAUAUAGUUUGUAUACACAUGUUAUUUUUUUGAACAUAUAUAUAGUUAUAUACACAUGUAUAUGCUGCCACAGUCAUGGUUAGGAAACUAAACCGGGACUUUGGUGUGGUUUAGUUGAGCUAGGCUUCGGCUCGGCUCCGAUAUAUUUUUUUUUUAAUAAUUUUUUUUUGGAUUUGUCGGCAAGUUCUCGGAGAUCACCGUCAACAUUUUGACAACCCUGUUUGUCGAUGAUAACAUAGUCGGGAACGCCUCGUCUCUUUCCGACAACCAUUUCCGAGAUUAAUCCGAGAGAAGAAUUUCGUCGCUAAGUUUCCGACAAACUGACGAUGAACGUCAUUUUCCGACGCUCAAACUCCGACCAAUUAUUGAUUGUCGGAAACGUCUCGGAAAUCAUGAACUCCGACGAAUUUCCAAUAAAUUUUGCUGUCGGCAUAGAGACUUUUUCUUGUAGUGUAGGUCGGGCUGGAGCUGGAGUUGGGAUUCGAACCAUAAUGACAGUGAAGCGCCAAACAGUUCAGGAACGGACAGUGAAGCACCCUGUUCGAGCUCCGGUUCGGACAGUGAAGCGCCAAGGAACAUCGUAGUGGGAGGAUCUGAUGGAUGGAAAAAAGGUUUGGAUUACAAAGAGUGGGCUUCCAAGAAUGCUCCUUUCUACGUCAACGAUGUUCUUGUUUUCAAGUACGAUAAAUCGGCCAAGCGAAGGAACAAUGUAUAUUUGUUCCAAGAUCCAUGGAGUUAUAUGAACUGCGACCUAAAGAAUGCAAAGAAGAUUGGUUUGACGCAUAAAAGAUCAGAAAAAAGCUUCAAGUUUACACUUCGACAAAAUAAGCCUUACUUCUUUGCGUCGGGCGAGCAUGAUGGUGAUUAUUGCACCAACCACAACAUGAAGUUCACCCUUUU